rnacentral:piRNA from 1 species
GCAGGAACAUUGAGAACAGCAGACACC